ACGGGUGAGUAAUACUUAUCUUACCUGCCGUUUAGUGGGGGAUAAAAUACCACAUACUCUUUGGCUUCGGUCAAACGAAAGGGAGUCUUCGGACUUUCGCUAAACGAUGGGGAUAAGGCGUAUUAGCUAGUUGGUGGGGUAAAGGCCUACCAAGGCAAUGAUGCGUAGCCAGGCUGAGAGGCUGAUUGGCCACGAGGGAACUGAGACACGGUCCCUACUCCUACGGGAGGCAGCAAUGAGGAAUCGUCGGCAAUGGGGGCAACCCUGACCGCGCAAUGCUACGUGAAGGAGGAAGGUCUACGGAUUGUAAACUUCUGUUAGUGCGGAAGAAAGGCUGAAUGCAGUUCAGUUUUGACGGUACGCACAGAGAAAGUCACGACUAACUACGUGCCAGCAGUCGCGGUAAGACGUAGGUGGCGAACGUUAUCCGGAAUUAUUGGGCGUAAAGGGUGCGUAGAUGGUAUAAUAAGUUAGCGGUGGUAAAUCGAGGCUCAACCUCGUGGAAGCUGGUAAUACUGUUUUGCUUGAGUGCAGAAGAGGUUAACGGAACUCCAUGUGGAGCGGUAAAAUGCGUAGAUAUAUGGAAGAACAUCAAUAACGGCGAAGGCAGUUAACUACUCUGUUACUGACAUUGAGGCACGAAAGCGUGGGGAGCAAAACGGAUUAGAUACCCGUGUAGUCCACGCCCUAAACGAUGAGUACUAGAUAUUGGGAACUUGAUUCUCAGUGUCGCUAGGUAACCCGGUAAGUACUCCGCCUGGGUAGUACGCUCGCAAGAGUGAAACUCAAAGGAAUUGACGGGGACUCGCACAAGCAGUGGAGCAUGUGGUUUAAUCCGAUACAACGCGUAGAACCUUACCAAGGCUUGACAUGUUGGGCAAAGCUAGGGAAACCUAGUGGAGGUUAUCCUAACACAGGUGCUGCAUGGCCGUCGUCAGUUCGUGCCGUGAGGUGUAUGGUUAAGUCCUAUAACGAACGCAACCCUUGGGCUUAGUUACCAGCAUUUAGUUGGGGACUCUAAGCCGACUGCCUGAGCAAUCAGGAGGAAGGAAAGGAUGACGUCUGGUCGUC
rnacentral:rRNA from 1 species